rnacentral:rRNA from 1 species
ACACAUGAAGCUGGAAUCGCUAGUAAUCGCAGAUCAGAAUGCUGCGGUGAAUACGUUCCCGGGUCUUGUACACACCGCCCGUCACACCAUGGGAGUCGGAAAUGCCCGAAGCCGGUGACCCAACCAAAAGGAGGGAGCCGUCGAAGGCAGGUCUGAUAACUGGGGUGAAGUCGUAACAAGGUAAC